GGGGGAUAACAGUUGGAAACGGCUGCUAAUACCGCAUAAGCGCACAGCAUCGCAUGAUGCAGUGUGAAAAACUCCGGUGGUAUAAGAUGGACCCGCGUUGGAUUAGCUAGUUGGUGAGGUAACGGCCCACCAAGGCGACGAUCCAUAGCCGACCUGAGAGGGUGACCGGCCACAUUGGGACUGAGACACGGCCCAAACUCCUACGGGAGGCAGCAGUGGGGAAUAUUGCACAAUGGGCGAAAGCCUGAUGCAGCGACGCCGCGUGAGCGAAGAAGUAUUUCGGUAUGUAAAGCUC
rnacentral:rRNA from 1 species